rnacentral:rRNA from 1 species
GUGCACGCUGGCGGUAGGCCUAACCCAUGCAAGUCGAACGGCAGCACAGUAAGAGCUUGCUCUUACGGGUGGCGAGUGGCGGACGGGUGAGGAAUACAUCGGAAUCUACUUUUUCGUGGGGGAUAACGUAGGGAAACUUACGCUAAUACCGCAUACGACCUACGGGUGAAAGCAGGGGAUCUUCGGACCUUGCGCGAUUGAAUGAGCCGAUGUCGGAUUAGCUAGUUGGCGGGGUAAUGGCCCACCAAGGCGACGAUCCGUAGCUGGUCUGAGAGGAUGAUCAGCCACACUGGAACUGAGACACGGUCCAGACUCCUACGGGAGGCAGCAGUGGGGAAUAUUGGACAAUGGGCGCAAGCCUGAUCCAGCCAUACCGCGUGGGUGAAGAAGGCCUUCGGGUUGUAAAGCCCUUUUGUUGGGAAAGAAAAGCAGCAGGUUAAUACCCCGCUGUUCUGACGGUACCCAAAGAAUAAGCACCGGCUAACUUCGUG